CGGUAAAUUUUAACAUUUUAACCAAUCGCAUCCUCUAGUUAAUGCAUUUUAACCACCGGUUGGGGGAACAACAACAGCUGAAUCCGUGAUCUACGGAUCUACGCGAGGUGUAAAACAGAGUGGAGGAAGAGACUGUUAAAUGGGUGGUGAAAAACAGCACCACGUGGAGCGAUGCUGAGCCAACGUUUUUAUAAUCACACAGAAUUAAGGAUUUCUGUUCCCCUACUCCCGCUUGGAGACAUCCGCUGCAAAUGGAAUCAGUUUGAAUAUAGAUUAACGUAACUACCCUUCUCGUUUACUCAUUUUCCCCAUCCCUAAUUUAGUAGGUUAUUGUUAUAUUUAUAUUAUACAUGUCAAUCUUGAAGAACUAAAAAAAAAUGUCAUUUGGCCAACGGGGUAUAUAGCCAAUUAAAAAAAAUGUCUUCACUUGCAAAUGAAUGGUCGAAGAUUCGAACUUUCAUGACACUUUAGUAUUAUAUGUGAGAAUUUUUUUUUCUUAUAGUUUAAACUAUCACUUGUAUUAAAAAAAUAUAUAUCAUUUUGAAUUUCAAAAUAUAUAGAUUAUAGUGAUCCUAGUAAUUAUUUAUCAUUUUAUAUUUUUAUAUUUUUGGAAUUUGAGGGACCAUAUAAAUAAUUCACAACUUUUGGAAGUGACACAGUCAAUCUAAUACUAAUGUGGUUAUUCCUUCCUACACUUUUCCAAAAGAAAAAGAAAUAACAAAGAAAAUGUCAUUCUUGGUAGUUGUCACUAGCCAUGAUAUGAUGCAAUAGUAUACCUUUUUUUUUUUUUUUGGUUUUUCCUUCUUCUUCUUCCUUAAAAAAAGUCUGAUGAAUGAAAGCCAUGUGAAUUUUCAUUAG
rnacentral:lncRNA from 1 species